UGCACGUGAUGUCUUUCUCUCACGAUGGUCUUCCAAGCCCCCCUGGUGAAGGGGCUUUGCUGACAGCACCAUGUGGCUUUGCUGAUGCCCAGCC
rnacentral:snoRNA from 1 species